GCUUCUUCGUCUUCUUCUUCUUCUUCUUCUUCUUCUUCUUCUUCUUCUUCUUCGAUCUAGGAUGGGUUCCAGGCCGACAGCCUCGGAUAGCAAGGAUGGACGUCAUUCUUUUAUCAGUUGUUUUCGUUCGUAGUCGGACCCUGCUCUUCUUCAUGAUGAUUUUACAUUGUAUGUAUUGUAUUGAUGUGACUCUGAUGUA
rnacentral:lncRNA from 1 species